GCCGACGUAGCUCAGUUGGUAGAGCAACGGUUUCGUAAAUCGUGGGUCGGAGGUUCGAUUCCUCUCGUCGGCU
rfam:Omnitrophica WOR_2 bacterium GWA2_53_43 gwa2_scaffold_1418, whole genome shotgun sequence.